GACAUGAUGGCUGAGUUUUAAGUGGUGGGUUGUAGCCCCAAGGACAGAGGUUUGAUUCCUCUUCAUGUCA
rnacentral:tRNA from 1 species